rnacentral:rRNA from 1 species
AACGCGAAGAACCUUACCUGGCCUUGACAUCUACGGAACCUUGCAGAGAUGCAGGGGUGCCUUCGGGAACCGUAAGACAGGUGCUGCAUGGCUGUCGUCAGCUCGUGUCGUGAGAUGUUGGGUUAAGUCCCGCAACGAGCGCAACCCUCGUCCUAUGUUGCCAGCGGGUCAUGCCGGGGACUCAUGGGAGACUGCCGGGGUCAACUCGGAGGAAGGUGGGGAUGACGUCAAGUCAUCAUGCCCCUUAUGUCUUGGGCUGCAAACAUGCUACAAUGGCCGGUACAGAGGGCUGCGAACUCGCGAGAGUAAGCGAAUCCCGGAAAGCCGGUCUCAGUUCGGAUCGGGGUCUGCAACUCGGCCCCGUGAAGCUGGAGUCGCUAGUAAUCGCGGAUCAGCAACGCCGCGGUGAAUACGUUCCCGGGCCUUGUACACACCGGAGUA